rnacentral:rRNA from 1 species
UGGGGAAUUUUGGACAAUGGGCGAAAGCCUGAUCCAGCAAUGCCGCGUGUGUGAAGAAGGCCUUCGGGUUGUAAAGCACUUUUGUCCGGAAAGAAAUCCUUGGCUCUAAUACAGUCGGGGGAUGACGGUACCGGAAGAAUAAGCACCGGCUAACUACGUGCCAGCAGCCGCGGUAAUACGUAGGGUGCAAGCGUUAAUCGGAAUUACUGGGCGUAAAGCGUGCGCAGGCGGUUUGCUAAGACCGAUGUGAAAUCCCCGGGCUCAACCUGGGAACUGCAUUGGUGACUGGCAGGCUAGAGUAUGGCAGAGGGGGGUAGAAUUCCACGUGUAGCAGUGAAAUGCGUAGAGAUGUGGAGGAAUACCGAUGGCGAAGGCAGCCCCCUGGGGCCAAUACUGACGCUCAUGCACGAAAAGCGUGGGGAGCAAACAGGAUUAGAUACCCUGGUAGUCCACGCCCUAAAACGAUGUCAACUAGUUGUUGGGGAUUCAUUUCCUAGUAACGUAGCUAACGCGUGAAGUUGACCGCCUGGGGAGUACGGUCGCAAGAUUAAAACUCAAAUGAAUUGACGGGGUCAUAGCUGUUUCCU